rnacentral:lncRNA from 1 species
GCACUCGCUGGUGUGUGGGGAAGCAGUGAGGACAGCGUCACCCUUUGGAUUCAGAGGGAGAGAAAAAAAUUGGCAAAGGGAUCUGAGAUCCGCAGGUUGUGACCAGCCUCUUCUCCAGGGCUUGAGGAAGGGUCUCUUUUCCCUGUGCUGAGAUUUAAGGCUCUCGUUGAAAAGUUCACAGUAAUGACAGAGCUUUGAUUUUUUUUCUUUCUUCUUCUUCUUUUUUUGCCUGGUAUCCCUAACUUAGAUUUUCCAAACCAUGUCCCUAACUUCACCACAGCCUACUGCAAAGUAAACUCUGGUUGCAAAGAGUGGUGAAGUCAGAAAAGAUUAAGUGACUUUAUGUAAUAAUCGAGGGUUGCUUUAGGGAGGCUGCCUCUUUAUGUAAUAAUUGAGAGUUGCUUUAGGGAGGCUGUGAUGUUGGAAUAGCAUCGUUCUUUUGUGGUAAACACCAAGACUUUUUGGACUUUUUUUUUUUUUUUUGGUUUUAAGGAGCGGAGAAUUUAAUAGGCAAGAAAGAAGGAAGAAGGCUGAAGGAAGAAGCUCCCCACUACAGAGACAGACGGAGGGGGCUCCCAAGACGAAAGAGGAGACCCCCAUUCUAGAUGUUCUUAACCCUUUGAGGGCAAAGCUCUCCGUUUAAUGCCUUGCACAUAUCAGGUUGCCAACAACAUGGUGUGGUUUAUCAAUUGUGAUAGGUUACUUAUUCGAGCCCCUGUUUACAAGAGUUUUAGAUUGCAUUUCUCUGGAAUGACCACAGCAAUAUUUCCAGCCCUUGAUGAUCUUCUAGAACUUUGCCACUUCCCUGCAUCAAGAGGAACCAUUUUCUGGGUAGACAUGAAUACUUUAAAAACCAAGCAUUUAUACACCAAUAACAGACAAACAGAGAGCCAAAUCAUGAGUGAACUCCCAUUCACAAUUGCUUCAAAGAGAAUCAAAUACCUAGGAAUCCAGCUUACAAGGGACGUGAGGGACCUCUUCAAAGGAGAACUACAAACCACUGCUCAAUGAAAUAAAAGAGGAUACAAAC